GGGUUGUGAGGUUAAGCGACUAAGCGUACACGGUGGAUGCCCUGGCAGUCAGAGGCGAUGAAGGACGUGCUAAUCUGCGAAAAGCGCCGGCGAGGUGAUAUGAACCUUUGACCCGGCGAUGUCCGAAUGGGGAAACCCAGUGUGAUUCGUCACACUAUCGUUAACUGAAUACAUAGGUUAACGAGGCGAACCGGGGGAACUGAAACAUCUAAGUACCCCGAGGAAAAGAAAUCAACCGAGAUUCCCCCAGUAGCGGCGAGCGAACGGGGAGCAGCCCAGAGUCUGAAUCAGCUUGUGUGUUAGUGGAAGCGUCUGGAAAGUCGCACGGUACAGGGUGACAGUCCCGUACACGAAAGCACACAGGUUGUGAACUCGAAGAGUAGGGCGGGACACGUGGUAUCCUGUCUGAAUAUGGGGGGACCAUCCUCCAAGGCUAAAUACUCCUGACUGACCGAUAGUGAACCAGUACCGUGAGGGAAAGGCGAAAAGAACCCCGGCGAGGGGAGUGAAAAAGAACCUGAAACCGUGUACGUACAAGCAGUGGGAGCACCUUCGUGGUGUGACUGCGUACCUUUUGUAUAAUGGGUCAGCGACUUAUAUUCUGUAGCAAGGUUAACCGUAUAGGGGAGCCGAAGGGAAACCGAGUCUUAACUGGGCGUUAAGUUGCAGGGUAUAGACCCGAAACCCGGUGAUCUAGCCAUGGGCAGGUUGAAGGUUGGGUAACACUAACUGGAGGACCGAACCGACUAAUGUUGAAAAAUUAGCGGAUGACUUGUGGCUGGGGGUGAAAGGCCAAUCAAACCGGGAGAUAGCUGGUUCUCCCCGAAAGCUAUUUAGGUAGCGCCUCGUGAACUCAUCUUCGGGGGUAGAGCACUGUUUCGGCUAGGGGGCCAUCCCGGCUUACCAACCCGAUGCAAACUACGAAUACCGAAGAAUGUUAUCACGGGAGACACACGGCGGGUGCUAACGUCCGUCGUGAAGAGGGAAACAACCCAGACCGCCAGCUAAGGUCCCAAAGUCAUGGUUAAGUGGGAAACGAUGUGGGAAGGCACAGACAGCCAGGAUGUUGGCUUAGAAGCAGCCAUCAUUUAAAGAAAGCGUAAUAGCUCACUGGUCGAGUCGGCCUGCGCGGAAGAUGUAACGGGGCUAAACCAUGCACCGAAGCUGCGGCAGCGACACUAUGUGUUGUUGGGUAGGGGAGCGUUCUGUAAGCCGUUGAAGGUGUGCUGUGAGGCAUGCUGGAGGUAUCAGAAGUGCGAAUGCUGACAUAAGUAACGAUAAAGCGGGUGAAAAGCCCGCUCGCCGGAAGACCAAGGGUUCCUGUCCAACGUUAAUCGGGGCAGGGUGAGUCGACCCCUAAGGCGAGGCCGAAAGGCGUAGUCGAUGGGAAACAGGUUAAUAUUCCUGUACUUGGUGUUACUGCGAAGGGGGGACGGAGAAGGCUAUGUUAGCCGGGCGACGGUUGUCCCGGUUUAAGCAUGUAGGCGGAGGUUCCAGGUAAAUCCGGUACCUUUUAACGCUGAGGUGUGAUGACGAGGCACUACGGUGCUGAAGUAACAAAUGCCCUGCUUCCAGGAAAAGCCUCUAAGCAUCAGGUAACAUCAAAUCGUACCCCAAACCGACACAGGUGGUCAGGUAGAGAAUACCAAGGCGCUUGAGAGAACUCGGGUGAAGGAACUAGGCAAAAUGGUGCCGUAACUUCGGGAGAAGGCACGCUGAUAUGUAGGUGAAGCCCCUGCGGGUGGAGCUGAAAUCAGUCGAAGAUACCAGCUGGCUGCAACUGUUUAUUAAAAACACAGCACUGUGCAAACACGAAAGUGGACGUAUACGGUGUGACGCCUGCCCGGUGCCGGAAGGUUAAUUGAUGGGGUUAGCGGUAACGCGAAGCUCUUGAUCGAAGCCCCGGUAAACGGCGGCCGUAACUAUAACGGUCCUAAGGUAGCGAAAUUCCUUGUCGGGUAAGUUCCGACCUGCACGAAUGGCGUAAUGAUGGCCAGGCUGUCUCCACCCGAGACUCAGUGAAAUUGAACUCGCUGUGAAGAUGCAGUGUACCCGCGGCAAGACGGAAAGACCCCGUGAACCUUUACUAUAGCUUGACACUGAACACUGGUCCUUGAUGUGUAGGAUAGGUGGGAGGCUUUGAAGUGUGGACGCCAGUCUGCAUGGAGCCGUCCUUGAAAUACCACCCUUUAAUGGCUGGUGUUCUAACGUAGACCCGUGAUCCGGGUUGCGGACAGUGUCUGGUGGGUAGUUUGACUGGGGCGGUCUCCUCCCAAAGAGUAACGGAGGAGCACGAAGGUUAGCUAAUCCUGGUCGGACAUCAGGAGGUUAGUGCAAUGGCAUAAGCUAGCUUGACUGCGAGAGUGACGGCUCGAGCAGGUGCGAAAGCAGGUCAUAGUGAUCCGGUGGUUCUGAAUGGAAGGGCCAUCGCUCAACGGAUAAAAGGUACUCCGGGGAUAACAGGCUGAUACCGCCCAAGAGUUCAUAUCGACGGCGGUGUUUGGCACCUCGAUGUCGGCUCAUCACAUCCUGGGGCUGAAGUAGGUCCCAAGGGUAUGGCUGUUCGCCAUUUAAAGUGGUACGCGAGCUGGGUUUAGAACGUCGUGAGACAGUUCGGUCCCUAUCUGCCGUGGGCGCUGGAGAAUUGAGGGGGGCUGCUCCUAGUACGAGAGGACCGGAGUGGACGCAUCACUGGUGUUCGGGUUGUCAUGCCAAUGGCACUGCCCGGUAGCUAAAUGCGGAAAAGAUAAGUGCUGAAAGCAUCUAAGCACGAAACUUGCCCCGAGAUGAGUUCUCCCUGAGACUUUAAGUCUCCUGAAGGAACGUUGAAGACGACGACGUUGAUAGGUCGGGUGUGUAAGCGCAGCGAUGCGUUGAGCUAACCGAUACUAAUGAACCGUGAGGCUUAACCUUACAACGCCGAAGGUGUUU
rnacentral:rRNA from 2 species